GUAUUUUACAGCUCUGUCAUUGGAUCAAAGAAGGGAAACUGAAGAUCAAAGAAACUGUGGUAAAGGGCCUGGAAAACAUUGGGGAGGCUUUCCAGUCCAUGAUGACCGGAGGCAACAUUGGAAAACAGAUAGUGCUGAUUUCUGAAUAAAAAUUAUGCCUCUUCAUAUCAGAAAACUCUACAAUUCAGCAAUGCUGCCUGCUGUCAUGGGGCUGCUUAGGCCUCUGAGGAAUAGUUAAUCAAGCUCAUCUGAUAGAGUUGCUGGAAAAUUAUAAAAAUCCGAAGCUAUUCUGUUUGAUCUCUCUCUUCAGCCUUCUUCCAUCAGUGUAAAUUGAGGGAAGCUGCUGCAGUAGAAAAGGCUAGGAAGGAGGACUCUGCCUACUUGAAUGCAGUUGCAGAUAUGGAAAGGGUGAGCUAGAAUAAAGGGGAAAUGAUCAUAGGAGCUGUAGAUCGGUGUAAUUCUCAUGUGAUUAAAGAGCAGUAAUAUGUUAGAA